UGGGGAAUAUUGCACAAUGGGCGCAAGCCUGAUGCAGUCAUGCCGCGUGUAUGAAGAAGGCCUUCGGGUUGUAAAGUACUUUCAGCGGGGAGGAAGGCGAUAAGGUUAAUAACCUUGUCGAUUGACGUUACCCGCAGAAGAAGCACCGGCUAACUCCGUGCCAGCAGCCGCGGUAAUACGGAGGGUGCAAGCGUUAAUCGGAAUUACUGGGCGUAAAGCGCACGCAGGCGGUCUGUCAAGUCGGAUGUGAAAUCCCCGGGCUCAACCUGGGAACUGCAUUCGAAACUGGCAGGCUAGAGUCUUGUAGAGGGGGGUAGAAUUCCAGGUGUAGCGGUGAAAUGCGUAGAGAUCUGGAGGAAUACCGGUGGCGAAGGUGGCCCCCUGGACAAAGACUGACGCUCAGGUGCGAAAGCGUGGGGAGCAAACA
rnacentral:rRNA from 1 species